rnacentral:rRNA from 1 species
UACGUAGGGUGCAAGCGUUGUCCGGAAUUAUUGGGCGUAAAGAGCUCGUAGGCGGUCUGUCGCGUCGGCUGUGAAAGCCCGAGCUCAACCUCGGGUCGGCCGUGCGAACUGGGUCACUUGAGCAGAAUAGAGGCAGGUGGAAUUCCGGGUGUAGCGGUGGAAUGCGUAGAGAUCCGGAAGAACACCGGGUGGCGAAGGCGGUUCUCUGGGCGAUUGACCUGACGCUGGAGGAGCGAAAGUGUGGGGAGCGAACAGG